UACGAAGGGGGGCUAGCGUUGCUCGGAAUCAUUGGGCGUAAAGGGUGCGUAGGCGGCGCGGUAAGUCGGGUGUGAAAUCUCGGAGCUUAACUCCGAAACUGCAUUCGAUACUGCCGUGCUUGAGGACUGGAGAGGAGACUGGAAUUUACGGUGUAGCGGUGAAAUGCGCAGAUAUCAGGAAGAACACCUAUGGCGAAGGCAGCUCUCUGGGACGGUACUGACGCUGAGACGCGAAAGCGUGGGGAGCGAACAGG
rnacentral:rRNA from 1 species